rnacentral:lncRNA from 1 species
CAAAUGCACAUGUAUGGUCGACCUCAUACUAAACCAUACGAGUAUACUCAUACGGUACGAGUAUACGUUCAGGUAUACUUAUAUGGUCCACAUUGUACGCGUAAGGGUUCAAAUCAGAUAUACUCAUAUUGUCUGGAACAUAUAUAUAUAUAUACAUGUAGCAUUGUUGAAAAAAAACUUAUACUUGUACUCAUCAUGGAUAAUACACAAUACAGAACCACAUCCGCG